rnacentral:rRNA from 1 species
AUUGAACGCUGGCGGCAUGCCUUACACAUGCAAGUCGAACGGCAGCACGGGGGCAACCCUGGUGGCGAGUGGCGAACGGGUGAGUAAUACAUCGGAACGUGUCCAGUAGCGGGGGAUAACCUCUCGAAAGAGAGGCUAAUACCGCAUACGACCUACGGGUGAAAGAGGGGGAUCGCAAGACCUCUCACUAUUGGAGCGGCCGAUGUCGGAUUAGCUAGUUGGUGGGGUAACGGCCCACCAAGGCUACGAUCCGUAGCUGGUCUGAGAGGACGGCCAGCCACACUGGAACUGAGACACGGUCCAGACUCCUACGGGAGGCGAGCAGUGGGGAAUUUUGGACAAUGGGCGCAAGCCUGAUCCAGCCAUGCCGCGUGAGUGAAGAAGGCCUCGGUU